GACGAACGCUGGCGGCGUGCCUAAUACAUGCAAGUCGAACGCUUUUUCUUUCACCGGAGCUUGCUCCACCGAAAGAAAAAGAGUGGCGAACGGGUGAGUAACACGUGGGCAACCUGCCCAUCAGAAGGGGAUAACACUUGGAAACAGGUGCUAAUACCGUAUAACACUAUUUUCCGCAUGGAAGAAAGUUGAAAGGCGCUUUUGCGUCACUGAUGGAUGGACCCGCGGUGCAUUAGCUAGUUGGUGAGGUAACGGCUCACCAAGGCAACGAUGCAUAGCCGACCUGAGAGGGUGAUCGGCCACACUGGGACUGAGACACGGCCCAGACUCCUACGGGAGGCAGCAGUAGGGAAUCUUCGAUAAUGGACGAAAGUCUGACCGAGCAACGCCGCGUGAGUGAAGAAGGUUUUCGGAUCGUAAAACUCUGUUGUUAGAGAAGAACAAGGAUGAGAGUAAAAUGUUCAUCCCUUGACGGUAUCUAACCAGAAAGCCACGGCUAACUACGUGCCAGCAGCCGCCGUAA
rnacentral:rRNA from 1 species